rnacentral:rRNA from 1 species
UACGGAGGAUGCGAGCGUUAUCCGGAUUUAUUGGGUUUAAAGGGUGCGCAGGCGGCGUGUCAAGUCAGCGGUAAAAUGUCGGGGCUCAACCCCGGCCGGCCGUUGAAACUGGCGUGCUCGAGUUGGAGAGAAGUAUGCGGAAUUCGUGGUGUAGCGGUGAAUGCAUAGAUAUCACGAAGAACCCCGAUUGCGAAGGCAGCAUACCGGCUCCACACUGACGCUGAGGCACGAAAGCGUGGGUAUCGAACAGG